AUAAUUACGUGGUGUCGGAUUCCCGGUGGUCACUGGGGCUGGGGUCCAGUGCCGAGGCUUAUCCAAUGCACUACGGUGGGCUGAAGCACGCAACUAUCCUACAGCGGGGUAGCUGGGGCAUGUAAUGUUUGGUAGUGGGGCUAGGCUUACGCACCGGACCCUG